CUACUCGAAAUCGAUCUUGUCCUGCCAUUUUCGAGCGUUUGUCCUGCGCUUGAUCGGCCUAUAGAAAACUAGGUAGGCGGUGAUAAAAUUUAUGACAGAUCAUUGAUUUUCACUAAGUGGAGUCUUCAAAAGUUUUUCUUUUCACCAAAUCCAUUAAAUUUUAUUUAAAAUGAUACUAGUGGGAACAAGUCAAACAAACAUGUUUUUCCCUGGACGGAAUCCGGCCGCGGUGGACAAAUUGAUCUAUCCGGAGGAACUACCAGGGAACUUUAAUCGGCGUGGAUUCGGCCAUCAUCAGUGAUAAGCAGCUGUCAGUCAAUUAGGUGAUGCGGUGGAGAAAGAGGCAAAGACAAAAAUAAAACAUGCCAGAGCUGCUUCUUUGGAUUAAAACAGGCUUUCAAGAACUCACCGAAGACAAAAAUACAUCAAUUAUCGAUAUUUAUAAAUAAAAAUAAAGUUAUUUGCAAUAAAG